rnacentral:rRNA from 1 species
CAGAGGGUGCAAACGUUGUUCGGAAUUACUGGGCGUAAAGCGCGUGUAGGCGGCUACGUAAGUCGGGCGUGAGAUCCCACGGCUCAACCGUGGAAGUGCACUCGAAACUGCAUAGCUAGAGUCCUGGAGAGGAAGGUGGAAUGCUUGGUGUAGAGGUGAAAUUCGUAGAUAUCAAGCGGAACACCGGUGGCGAAGGCGGCCUUCUGGACAGUGACUGACGCUGAGACGCGAAAGCGUGGGGAGCAAACAGGAUUAGAUACCCUGGUAGUCCACGCCGUAAACGAUGAGUGCUAGGUGUCACGGGCUUUGACCCUCGUGGUGCCGAAGCUAACGCGUUAAGCACUCCGCCUGGGGAGUACGGCCGCAAGGCUA